GAAUAUUGGUCAAUGGGGGGAACCCUGAUCCAGCCAUGCCGCGUGUGUGAAGAAGGCCUUUUGGUUGUAAAGCACUUUACGCGAGGAGGAGGAGCUCUUGGUUAAUACCCAAGAUGCUUGGACGUUACUCGCAGACUACGCACCGCCUAACUCUGCGCCAUCAGCCCCGGUAAUACAGAGGGUGCAAGCGUUAAUCGGAGUGACUGGGCGUAAAGCGCGCGUAGGUGGACAAUUAAGUCAAAUGUGAAAUCCCCGAGCUUAACUUGGGAAUUGCAUUCGAUACUGGUGGGCUAGAGUAUGGGAGAGGAUGGUAGAAUUUCAGGUGUAGCGGUGAAAUGCGUAGAGAUCUAGAGGAAUACCGAUGGCGAAGGCAGCCAUCUGGCCUAAUACUGACACUGAGGUGCGAAAGCAUGGGGAGCAAACAG
rnacentral:rRNA from 1 species